UACGAAGGGGGCUAGCGUUGCUCGGAAUCACUGGGCGUAAAGGGUGCGUAGGCGGGGCUUUAAGUCAGGGGUGAAAUCCUGGAGCUCAACUCCAGAACUGCCUUUGAUACUGAGGAUCUUGAGUACGGGAGAGGUGAGUGGAACUGCGAGUGUAGAGGUGAAAUUCGUAGAUAUUCGCAAGAACACCAGUGGCGAAGGCGGCUCACUGGCCCGUAACUGACGCUGAGGCACGAAAGCGUGGGUAGCAAACAGG
rnacentral:rRNA from 1 species